GCAUAUCAUAUUAAGGUGUCAAAUAAAUUUUGCGGUUCGCUAUGAAAAAAGAUUUGAUUGUGAUCUUU
rnacentral:snoRNA from 1 species